rnacentral:rRNA from 1 species
AUUGAACGCUGGCGGCAGGCCUAACACAUGCAAGUCGAGCGGGGUUUUCGGACCUAGCGGCGGACGGGGGAGUAAUGCGUAGGAAGCUACCCGAUAGAGGGGGAUACCAGUUGGAAACGACUGUUAAUACCGCAUAAUGUCUACGGACCAAAGUGUGGGACCUUCGGGCCACAUGCUAUCGGGUGCGCCUACGAGGGAUUAGCUAGUUGGUGGGGUAAUGGCUCACCAAGGCGACGAUCCCUGGCUGGUUUGAGAGGAUGAUCAGCCACACUGGAACUGAGACACGGUCCAGACUCCUACGGGAGGCAGCAGUGGGGAAUAUUGGACAAUGGGCGCAAGCCUGAUCCAGCCAUGCCGCGUGUGUGAAGAAGGCCUUCGGGUUGUAAAGCACUUUCAGUAGGGAGGAAGGAUGUUGUGCUAAUAGCACAGCAUUUUGACGUUACCUACAGAAGAAGCACCGGCUAACUCUGUGCCAGCCGCCGCAGUAAAAC